rnacentral:rRNA from 1 species
GAUGAACGCUGGCGGUCUGCAUAACACAUGCAAGUCGAACGGGUGUAGAAAUACAUUAGUGGCGGACGGGUGAGUAACGCGUGAGAAUCUGGCUUUAGGUUCGGGACAACCACUGGAAACGGUGGCUAAUACCGGAUGUGCCCUUGGGUAAAAGGUUUACCGCCUAAAGAUGAGCUCGCGUCUGAUUAGCUAGUUGGUGUGGUAAGAGCGCACCAAGGCGACGAUCAGUAGCUGGUCUGAGAGGAUGAUCAGCCACACUGGGACUGAGACACGGCCCAGACUCCUACGGGAGGCAGCAGUGGGGAAUUUUCCGCAAUGGGCGAAAGCCUGACGGAGCAAGACCGCGUGAGGGAGGAAGGCUCUUGGGUCGUAAACCUCUUUUCUCUGGGAAUAAUUAAUUGAAGGUACCAGAGGAAUCAGCAUCGGCUAACUCCGUGCCAGCAGCCGCGGUAAUACGGAGGAUGCAAGCGUUAUCCGGAAUGAUUGGGCGUAAAGAGUCCGUAGGUGGUGAUUCAAGUCGAUUGUUAAAGAGCGGGGCUUAACCCCGUAGAAGCAGUGGAAACUGAAUCGCUAGAGAGAGGUAGGGGUAGAGGGAAUUCCCGGUGUAGCGGUGAAAUGCGUAGAGAUCGGGAAGAACACCUGUGGCGAAGGCGCUCUACUGGGCCUCAUCUGACACUGAGGGACGAAAGCUAGGGGAGCGAAAGGGAUUAGAUACCCCUGUAGUCCUAGCCGUAAACGAUGGAUACUAGGUGUUGUCUG